rnacentral:lncRNA from 1 species
CAUGCUUCUCUUUAAUGCCUUUUGAACCCAUGUUUGCAUCACUUGGUCCGCACCAUCCUACAGUCUAUGUGUCAAUAAUAAAUGAUUGUUGAACAUUUAGGGACUUCCAUUAAUAAUAUGUUGAAUAUCCACGUCAUAGAAGAAGCGGAAAAGAAACUGCUCAUUAUCUAAGUCUGUGAUAUUCAUCCCUCUGAUAGGUUUCCAUACAUUC